rnacentral:misc_RNA from 1 species
CGCACCUUGCACCUUUUGGUAUUCCGAAAGGUACACCUGUUUGAGAGUCAUUAAAAUCAAUCAAACCAUUCGGUUUUGCGACCGUCUGGCUUGGAAUUGGAGGUUUGUGCGGGCUGCCUUUAUUGGCGGUCGGCUCCUCUUAAAUGCAUUAGCUUUGGGACGCAGUAGCUGCUCCGACAAUGCCUCUGGUGUGAUAAUUAUCUAUGCCGUUGGUUAGGAACUUGGCGAACGGUCUUGGCUUCUAACUGUCUCGAAAGGGACUGCAGCUUCGGCUGUAAACCUAUUUGCUUGACCUCAAAUCAGGUGGGACUACCCGCUGAACUUAA